CACCUUUACGGAAGAUUUUCCCAAUAUCCACAUCCCAACACCAGUAACGAUAACUCCGCCUCUAGUUAGAACAAGGGAGACAGAAAGUUACAGUUUUCCUCCAAUUAAAAGAGCUUCGAUGUUGGAUACAGGAUCGCGGCAUUGUGAACAAUACAGAUGGGCCAAGAAAAAGAUGCAUCACUAUAUUUCGAUCUCCAAGUACCUGUCCUACACCUGCCUGUCUCACACGAUGGCUGACCUGUCCCACAAAGUUUACCAGAGACGUUCAUUCACCUACUAGCUGAGUUUGUCACUGGGAUAAAGUCAACAUUGUGUCAUGUACAUAUGACCAAUAUUACAUCAAUAACGUUUGGAUUUAUUUACACAAGACAA